GAUGAACGCUGGCGGCGUGCUUAACACAUGCCAGUCGAACGGGAUCCAAGGGGUGCUUGCACUUUUUGGUGAGAGUGGCGAACGGGUGAGUAACACGUGAGUAACCUGUCCUUUUCUUUGGGAUAAGCAUUCGAAAGGGUGUUUAAUACCUUAUGUUCUGUCUGCCUCGCAUGGGGUGGGUGGGAAAGGCUUUGGCCGGAUUUGGGUGGGCUCGCGGUCUAUCAGCUUGUUGGUGGGGUGAUGGCUUACCAAGGCUUUGACGGGUAGCCGGCCUGAGAGGGUGGUCGGUCACAUUGGGACUGAGAUACGGCCCAGACUCCUGCGGGAGGCAGCAGUGGGGGAUAUUGCACAAUGGGCGAAAGCCUGAUGCAGCGACGCCGCGUGGGGGAUGAAGGCCUUCGGGUUGUAAACUUCUGUUGCUCUGAACAAGGCAUGCCAGUGGGUGUGUUGAGUGUAGGGGUUGAUUAGCGCCGGCUAACUACGUG
rnacentral:rRNA from 1 species